rnacentral:rRNA from 1 species
AUAUCAAUAAGCGGAGGAAAAGAAACUAACAAAGGAUUUCCCUAGUAACUGCGAGUGAAGCGGGAAAAGCUCAAAUUUAAAAUCUGGCAGUCUUUGGCUGUCCGAGUUGUAAUCUAGAGAAGUGUUAUCCGCACUGGACCGUGUACAAGUCUCCUGGAAUGGAGCGUCAUAGAGGGUGAGAAUCCCGUCUUUGACACGGACUACCAGAGCUUUGUGAUGCGCUUUCAAAGAGUCGAGUUGUUUGGGAAUGCAGCUCAAAAUGGGUGGUAAAUUCCAUCUAAAGCUAAAUAUUGGCGAGAGACCGAUAGCGAACAAGUACCGUGAGGGAAAGAUGAAAAGAACUUUGGAAAGAGAGUUAAACAGUACGUGAAAUUGCUGAAAGGGAAACGCUUGAAGUCAGUCGCGUUAUCCAGGGAUCAACCUUGCUUUUGCUUGGUGCACUUUCUGGUUGACGGGUCAGCAUCAAUUUUGACCAUUGGAAAAAGAUUAGGGGAAUGUGGCAUCUUUGGAUGUGUUAUAGCCCUUGGUUGCAUGCAAUGGUUGGGAUUGAGGAACUCAGCACGCCGCAAGGCCGGGUUUUUAACCACGUACGUGCUUAGGAUGCUGGCAUAAUGGCUUUAAUCGACCCGUCUUGAAACACGGACCAAGGAGUCUAACAUGCCUGCGAGUGUUUGGGUGGAAAACCCGAGCGCGUAAUGAAAGUGAAAGUUGAGAUCCCUGUCAUAGGGAGCAUCGACGCCCGGACCAGACCUUUUGUGACGGCUCCGCGGUAGAGCAUGUAUGUUGGGACCCGAAAGAUGGUGAACUAUGCCUGAAUAGGGUGAAGCCAGAGGAAACUCUGGUGGAGGCUCGUAGCGAUUCUGACGUGCAAAUCGAUCGUCAAAUUUGGGUAUAGGGGCGAAAGACUAAUC